UACGUAGGGUGCAAGCGUUAAUCGGAAUUACUGGGCGUAAAGCGUGCGCAGGCGGUUUUGUAAGUCUGUCGUGAAAUCCCCGGGCUCAACCUGGGAAUUGCGAUGGAGACGUGCAAGGCUAGAAUCUGGCAGAGGGGGGUAGAAUUCCACGUGUGAGCGUGAAAUGCGUAGAGAUGUGGAGGAACACCGGAUGGCGAAGGCAGGUCACUGGGCAUUAACUGACGC
rnacentral:rRNA from 1 species